rnacentral:rRNA from 1 species
UACGUAGGGGGCAAGCGUUGUCCGGAAUCAUUGGGCGUAAAGCGCGUGUAGGCGGUUCGGUAAGUCGGCUGUGAAAGUCCAGGGCUCAACCCUGGGAUGCGGGUGGAUACUGUCGGGCUCGAGUCCGGAAGAGGCGAGUGGAAUUCCCGGUGUAGCGGUGAAAUGCGCAGAUAUCGGGAGGAACACCAAUGGCGAAGGCGGCUCGCUGGGACGUGACUGACGCUGAGACGCGAAAGCGUG